GGUGCAGCGCCGAGAGCCCCGAGUCUCUGGGUCCCCCUAUCUCCCCAUCCGCCCUUAAGCGGGCGGGCCACGUCCUGGUCCCGACCGGAGAGUGGCCGCCCGGGAGCCUUUGGCAUUUAAGCUGGAGGGCUCAAGGGAAGGCGGCUGUGUGAGGCACCCGCAGGGCGCUGCGCGCAGGUCAAGCGGCGUGUGGCGCCGACUCCUGACUCCUCCCUGUGGGCGGGUGGGCGUGGGGCGAGGGGAGCCGGGCGGCGAGUCGGAGCUGGUGUUGCUGGGGUGUGUUCAGCAACAUAUGUCUUCUAGAUGAAUAAUACUGCAGCUAGCCCAAUGUCCACUGCCACUUCAAGUAGUGGAAGAAGUACAGGGAAGUCUAUAAGCUUUGCAUUUGAAUUACAGAGUAUGAUGUAAGUAUGUCUCUGCAUCUCACUUAAUACUCUUUUAAACUUAUUAAAAAAAGACUAUGGA
rnacentral:lncRNA from 1 species